UACGGGGGAUGCAAGCGUUAUCCGGAAUCAUUGGGCGUAAAGCGCCUGUAGGUUGUUUAAUAAGUCUGUUGUUAAAGACUAGGGCUUAACCCUGGGAAAGCAAUGGAAACUAAUAGACUUGAGUAUGGUAGGGGUAGAGGGAAUUUCUAGUGUAGCGGUGAAAUGCGUAGAUAUUAGAAAGAACACCAGUGGCGAAAGCGCUCUACUGGACCAUUACUGACACUCAGAGGCGAAAGCUAGGGGAGCGAAAGGGAUUAGAUACCCCUGUAGUCCUAGCCGUAAACGAUGGAUACUAGAUGUUGCGUUUUAAUGCAGUAUCGUAGCUAACGCGUUAAGUAUCCCGCCUGGGGAGUACGCUCGCAAGGGUG
rnacentral:rRNA from 1 species